AACCCAAAACCCUAGCCCCUCCUCCUCUUCUCUGUCACUGAAAUCAGACCAAAUUGACCUCUCGCAGCUCGCCGGAGCCCACUGAAUGCGAUCAUGGCCGACGUCGCUACCCUCUCCUGUGCUCGCUGCAGCAAACCCGCCAAUCUUCAGUGCCCCAAGUGUGUGGAGUUGAAGCUUCCUCGUGAAGCUGCUGCUUUCUGCACUCAGGAUUGUUUUAAGGCGUCGUGGAGCUCGCAUAAAUCGGUACAUGUAAAGGCGAAGCAGUCAGAUGGGACGGGGAGUGCGGAGAAUGAAGGCUGGCUAUAUUGUAUGAAGAAAGGACAGAAUCGAUCUCCGAAACUUCCUUAUUUUGAAUGGACUGGUAAUGAUGUAUCGUUUUGCAGAUCAAGACUCCAGAUCAAAUUGAGAGGAUGCGAGAAACUUGUCGAAUUGCAAGAGAGGUUUUGGAUGCAGCUGCUCGUGUCAUACAGCCUGGUAUCACGACUGAUGAAAUUGAUAGGGUGGUCCAUGAUGCUACUAUUGCUGCGGGUAUUAAAUAGGCUUUCACCAUAUUUCUUACAGUGCCAAAACUAGUUUGCACGUCAGUCAAUGAAGUAAUUUGCCAUGGGAUUCCUGAUGCCAGGAAAUUAGAAGAUGGUGAUAUCGUCAAUGUUGACAUAAGUGUGUAUUACAAAGGCGUCCAUGCUGAUCUCAAUGAUACGUACUUUGUGGGAAAUGUUGAUGAAGAGUCUCAACGGCUAGUACAGUGUACUUACGAGUGCUUGGAAAAAGCAAUAGCCAUUGCAAAACCUGGAGUUAGAUUUCGUGAAGUUGGAGAUGUCAUUAAUCGCCAUGCUACAAUGGCAGGAUUCUCUGUGGUGAAAUCAUAUUGUGGUCAUGGUAUAGGGGAGCUCUUUCAUUGUGCACCAGAUAUUCCUCACUAUGCAAGAAAUAAAGCAGUUGGAGUGAUGAAAGCUGGGCAAACUUUCACGAUUGAACCAAUGAUCAAUGCAGGUGACAGAGACUGGAGUUGA